GACGUAGGGGGCCAGCGUUGUUCGGAAUUACUGGGCGUAAAGGGCGCGUAGGCGGGAUGGCAAGUCGGUCGUGAAAUCCCUCGGCUCAACCGAGGAACGUCGAUCGAUACUGCUGUUCUUGAGGAUUGCAGAGGAGACUGGAAUUCCCGGUGUAGCGGUGAAAUGUGUAGAGAUCGGGAGGAACACCGGUGGCGAAGGCGGGUCUCUGGGCAAUUCCUGACGCUGAGGCGCGAAAGCGUGGGGAGCAAACGGG
rnacentral:rRNA from 1 species